rnacentral:siRNA from 1 species
AGGGUAUUGUUGCAAAAAGGUAGU